rnacentral:rRNA from 1 species
AUACGUAGGGUGCGAGCGUUGUCCGGAAUUACUGGGCGUAAAGAGCUCGUAGGUGGUUUGUCGCGUCGUCUGUGAAAUUCCGGGGCUUAACUCCGGGCGUGCAGGCGAUACGGGCAUAACUUGAGUACUGUAGGGGAGACUGGAAUUCCUGGUGUAGCGGUGAAAUGCGCAGAUAUCAGGAGGAACACCGGUGGCGAAGGCGGGUCUCUGGGCAGUAACUGACGCUGAGGAGCGAAAGCAUGGGUAGCGAACAGGAUUAGAUACCCUGGUAGUCCAUGCCGUAAACGGUGGGCGCUAGGUGUAGGGGUCUUCCACGACUUCUGUGCCGUAGCUAACGCAUUAAGCGCCCCGCCUGGGGAGUACGGCCGCAAGGCUAAAACUCAAAUGAAUGGACGGGG